GACGAACGCUGGCGGCGUGCUUAACACAUGCAAGUCGAACGGAAAGGCCCUGCUUUUGUGGGGUGCUCGAGUGGCGAACGGGUGAGUAACACGUGAGUAACCUGCCCUUGACUUUGGGAUAACUUCAGGAAACUGGGGCUAAUACCGGAUAGGAGCUCCUGCUGCAUGGUGGGGGUUGGAAAGUUUCGGCGGUUGGGGAUGGACUCGCGGCUGAUCAGCUUGUUGGUGGGGGAGUGGCUUACCAAGGCUUUGACGGGUAGCCGGCCUGAGAGGGUGACCGGCCACAUUGGGACUGAGAGACGGACCAGACUCCUACGGGAGGCAGCAGUGGGGAAUAUUGCACAAUGGGCGGAAGCCUGAUGCAGCAACGCCGCGUGCGGGAUGACGGCCUUCGGGUUGUAAACCGCUUUCGCCUGUGACGAAGCGUGAGUGACGGUAAUGGGUAAAGAAGCACCGGCUAACUACGUG
rnacentral:rRNA from 1 species